rnacentral:rRNA from 1 species
AUUGAACGCUGGCGGCAGGCUUAACACAUGCAAGUCGAGCGAGUGGCGGACGGGUGAGUAAUGUCUGGGAAACUGCCUGAUGGAGGGGGAUAACUACUGGAAACGGUAGCUAAUACCGCAUACCAUCAGAUGUGCCCAGAUGGGAUGGGCUGGAUGGUGGGGUAAUGGCUCACCUAGGCGACGAUCCCUAGCUGGUCUGAGAGGAUGACCAGCGACACUGGAACUGAGACACGGUCCAGACGCCUACGGGAGGCAGCAGUGGGGAAUAUUGCACAAUGGGCGCAAGCCUGAUGCAGCCAUGCAGCGUGUAUGAAGAAGGCCUUCGGGUUGGAAAGUACUUUCAGCGGGGAGGCGUUACCCGCAGAAGAAGCACCGGCUAACUCCGUGCCAGCAGCCGCGGUAAUAC